UAUGGUUAAGUGACUAAGCGUACACGGUGGAUGCCUUGGCAGUCAGAGGCGAUGAAAGGCGUAAUAACUUGCGAUAAGCCCAGAUUAGGUAGUAAUAACCUUUUGAGUCUGGGAUUCCUGAAUGGGGAAACCCACUUACAUAAGUAAGUAUCCUGUUGUGAAUACAUAGCAACAGGAGGCAAACCGGGGGAACUGAAACAUCUAAGUACCCCGAGGAAGAGAAAUCAACCGAGAUUCCGAAAGUAGCGGCGAGCGAAAUUGGAUUAGCCCUUAAGCUUUUAAUGAGACAGAUGAAGGCUCUGGAAAGUGCCGCAGUAAAGGGUGAUAGCCCCGUAAUCGACAUCUCAUAAUCAGUGAAAACGAGUAGGGCGGGACACGUGAUAUCCUGUCUGAAUAUGGGGGGACCAUCCUCCAAGGCUAAAUACUACUGACUGACCGAUAGUG
rnacentral:rRNA from 1 species